rnacentral:rRNA from 1 species
GUAACUAUGCACGUCUUGACGGUACCUAAUCAGAAAGCCACGGCUAACUACGUGCCAGCAGCCGCGGUAAUACGUAGGUGGCAAGCGUUAUCCGGAAUUAUUGGGCGUAAAGCGCGCGUAGGCGGUUUUUAAGUCUGAUGUGAAAGACCCACCGGCGUCAACCGUGACGGGUCAGUUGGAAACUGGAAAACUUGAAGUGCAGAGAGGAAAGUGGAAAUUCCGAAUCGUGUAGCGGUGAAAUGACGUAGAGAUUUGGAGGUAACACCGAAGUCGGCGAAGGCGAACGGCGGCCGAGGUCCGUGGGAGGCGAAGGCACGACAGGGAUAGGGA